GCUGUCUCCUUUCUUUCCACACUCCAUUUUUCUCUUAACCACGCACAGCGCCGCUCUCAACCUCACUCACUGGUAUUCACACUCGAUCAAAACCUCAACUACCUUAGAAUGCUAUGAACCAACGCUGCUACAUACUCUAACAAUCUUCAAAAGCCAAGGGUACUAUGGGCUCUGUCGAUUCUCUCUCGGGUUUCCCUCACCGAUCGACUAAACUAUCAAGGCUCCCUAUUCUCACCGACAAAGACUAUAUGUAAAGCUUCAAUGGAUGGCAUGAUUGGUGGCAGUGAUUGGCUCAUGCAUUGAUGGAAACCGGUAACUGGGGUAAUGGUCACUGGGUUGAGCUUGAGUUAUAAGAAAUUUGUAAUCUGGGUCUCGAGCCUGUAAAAAAUAAUAUGUAACAUUAAUAAUAAUAAUAAUAAUAAUAAUAAUAAUAAUAAUAUAAUAUUUAUA